GUUUAACCGGAUAUUUUGUAAACAAAGGAGUUGUAAUUUCUUCACUGUUCACCCUCUCUGACACAUCCAGAUAUAACCAAGCCCGCUUUGUGACAAAAGUAAAUACAGAAAAUUUACCAAUCCCUUAAAUUUACUCGUUUGUCCUUUAGUUUCCCCAAGAUGACAAAAAUGAAGGUUAUCUUUGGAGUUUUAGUUUUUGCGUGCAUCUUAAUAUCAAACGAAUGUUCCCCAUUGCCAACUAUGGACAGUACAUCCGCUACAUUAUCGGGACAUGAGGAAGUACUAAGCCUGCUUAAGUCUUGCAUCAGUACCCACCAUUGUCACUGUAUUCAGGGUGUCCCCGUGUGUCACAGCGGACAAUGUAUGUGUCUAUUUUCCGUCCAUUAUGGAG